CUUCGAGCCAAAGAUGCGGCGAGGCUGGAAGAUGGCUCUGUCUGGGGGGCUGCGGUGCUGCCGCCGGGUACUGUCCUGGGUGCCAGUGCUCGUUAUUGUCCUCGUCGUGCUCUGGUCCUACUAUGCCUACGUCUUUGAACUCUGCCUGGUGACUGUUUUGAGCCCAGCAGAAAAAGUUAUUUACCUCAUACUCUACCAUGCCAUCUUUGUGUUCUUUACCUGGACCUACUGGAAGUCUAUCUUUACACUCCCACAGCAGCCAAACCAGAAGUUCCACUUGUCCUACACAGACAAGGAGCGCUAUGAAAAUGAAGAAAGACCUGAGGUCCAGAAGCAGAUGCUUGUUGAUAUGGCCAAAAAGCUACCGGUUUACACAAGAACUGGAAGUGGAGCUGUACGAUUCUGUGACCGGUGUCAUCUGAUCAAGCCAGACCGCUGCCACCACUGCUCUGUCUGUGCUAUGUGUGUGUUAAAAAUGGAUCAUCACUGCCCUUGGGUUAAUAACUGCAUUGGAUUUUCCAACUACAAAUUCUUCCUUCAAUUCUUAGCUUACUCUGUUCUCUACUGCCUGUACAUUGCUACGACAGUCUUCAGCUAUUUCAUCAAAUACUGGAGAGGGGAAUUACCCAGUGUUCGCUCUAAGUUCCAUGUCCUUUUUCUUCUCUUUGUGGCCUGCAUGUUUUUUGUCAGCCUUGUGAUUCUCUUUGGUUACCAUUGUUGGCUUGUCAGCAGAAACAAAACCACCUUAGAGGCCUUCUGCACUCCAGUGUUUACAAGUGGCCCAGAGAAAAAUGGGUUCAACCUUGGCUUCAUCAAGAAUAUCCAGCAGGUGUUUGGAGAUAAGAAGAAGUUCUGGUUAAUACCUAUUGGUUCCAGCCCUGGUGAUGGACACUCCUUCCCUAUGAGGUCUAUGAAUGAGUCACAGAACCCACUGCUAGCAAAUGAAGAAACCUGGGAAGACAACGAGGAUGACAACCAAGAUUAUCCAGAAGGCUCAUCAUCUCUUGCUGUGGAAACGGAAACAUAGCAGUUUUCACAUUUCCUGCAUCUCUCAGACAGGUCAGUAUUCUGAGGGAGACACAUACAGUGGCACCUGGACUGCUAAGAAGGCGGCUUGGGAGAAGAACUAGAAAAGAAAUAAGUUCUUAUCCUGGGUGAAAAAGAUUUUAAAUUCUUCACUCUUGUAAUGCAUGCAUAAGCAGAAGUUCUAUACAUAAUUUCCCUUGGCAGUGUGCUGAAAAAAAAGAUGCCCUUAUUCCCUGCAAACUCACACUUAUGUCACUUGUGCUGAAAAAAACUCCGGGGAUCCAGACACCCAAACAUUCCGUUAAGGUUAUUUACUCUCAUACUGUGAAUUAUAAGCCUCCUCCUGUUUCAUUCCAGGUCUCUGAAAUGGUACAGAUUACAAAUAGCUUUCUUUUGCCUGACUCCAUUAUGUCAGUUAAUAACCUAGUCUUCCCCACUAAGGGCAAAAAAGCAUCCUUCCUACACUGUAACCCUCCUAAAAUGCUAUGAGUUUGUUAAGUAGUGGCAGACAACUUUACACAUGGGAUUCUCUUUGGCCUGGUGAAAAGCUCGACGACCUUCUUUUUGCAACACUCACAGGUAUAAACCCAGUGUAAUUAAAUAUUAAAAGAAUGUUAGUAAUAGAAAUACCAUAGAGCUUAUAGCUCUGAUCGGAUGAAACUUCUAAUCCUAUUCUCAUGAAAAAAGCUAGCAAUUAUUCAGAAGCUUACAAUCUGUUCGUGGGUUCCCAGGUCUUCAGUUCUUUCCCUUACAGAAAUUCUGCUGUGUACAAGUGUACAUAUUGUAUAAAACUUUGUAUAUGCCAGCCACUUUGGUGUGUACUUGAUAUAUAUGAUCUUAUUUAAUCCUCACAUCAACUGUAAGAUGAAUGUUACUAUUCCCAUUUUACUUAUGAGAAAACUGAUAUGCAGAGAGGUUAAAUCACUUAUCCAAGUCUGCAUAUGUAGUAAGUGGCCAACCUAGGGUUGUAACUCAGGUCUAUCUGACCUCAAAGCAUGCUAUUUCCACCAUGGCACUACAUUUCAAAAUCUGAGUUAUUUGUGAUGUGUCUUUAUUUAUUAUCAAAGAUUAAAAAAGGAGAGAACCAAGUCUGUUUCCUUAUCCAAAGCCCUGAUGAAAUGUUUGAUGUUUAGGUAAGACAACUUAUAUGAUAGUAAUAUCUAGAUUUGGGUUAUCUGUGGUGCUAAUCUGUCUAUUUUAUUUUAGUAUUUUCCUAGGGGAAACACUACUACUUUGGCAUGGUAACAGAUGUUAAAGGGAAGAAAAAUUAUCUGGACUCACCAUCUCUGCCUCCCAUGAGGCUUACAGAGUUCAAUGUUGGAAAUCAUUGUAAUCUUCAAAAUAAGUCACCGUGUUGGAUUGAAAGCUUCAAAAUUUGAAAGAAUUCCAUCAAAUACUUGCUGUGUAAAUGUUUCUGGACUUUAUGUUAUUUAAUUUACUGACUGAAAUCCAAUUUGGAAUUUGGUAGCAGUUAAUUCAAGCCAAUUUUUUUUGUUUCUUCAUUUCCCCUCCCCCAAUCCAUGAAAGCCUAAAUGUAAAAUAUAUCUUUUCAUUCAUCUUAUCAGGUAAAAGGAAAUUCAGAAAAUUUCCUUAGAGUCUUUAAUUCCCCCACAAAGAUUAUUAAUCACAUAUAUAGGGCCUUUUUGGUGUUGAAGGGAAUCAAACUACAUUUGCUGCUUGUGUGCGUGUGCAUUUGUGAACACGUACAGCAUAUCUAUACAAAAUUCUGCUAUAGUGUGAAAAUCAGGGCUAAAAACCUGAAGCCUUUGUUUAAUUAUGCUUUUCCUCUAAAUAGCAACUUAAAUAUUUGCUAGACUUUGAAUCAUCGCUAUAUCAAGUAUCUAAAAUUUGGGAGGGUGAAUCAGUACACUGUGACCAAGGUCCUCAAAUUGGAAUUUGAACAACAAUGUAAAACCUGUUCUGUCACAAAUGUUCCUGAAAGCACCACAGCUACUCAAGAAGAUCAAAUUCAGGACAUAAACUUUAUUGAACAUAAUAACCAGUGUUUUUUAAAGACUUUUUUGUCAGGGUGCAGUAAAAUUCUCCAAUUACUUUUAUUCAUUUAUCUGCUUCCUAGUUUUAUUUUAGCCUUUAUGAGUUAUUUUAUGAUGAAAGAAAAUCUAUAAGCCUAAGUUAUGGCCCAUAGGUUUUGUUAAGGGUUUUCAGAGUGAUUUUCAGGUUUAAUUUCACUGCCUUUCAUAAGGGUAAAGUUUCACAGCUGACAUUAGCCUGAGGAUUAGCACUAAAGAGCUGUGUUUUCAUAGCAGGGGCUAUUGUACAGACAGUGAUAACCAAAUAGUAAUAUGCCAGUUCUUUCUUCUUUUUUUAGCUUCAGUAGUAGCUAAGCCAUUAAUACAGUUUGCAUCAAUUUCCCCAUUUAUUUAUAAUCAGCCUUUCUUUUAGUCCUAGUGCCUGAAUCAAUGAGUGAGAAUACUAGUACUGAUUCUUUACAAUAAUAAUAUCUUAAGAGUAUUGAUAUCUUUCAUUUUUUCAUCCAGCAGUCUAGUGCCCAGCUGCUGACAAUAAAAGCUCCAACUCUUUUAGAGAUCAGUGGAAUUUAGAAGCAUCUUACAGGUAUCAAGGAAUUGAGCUUCUAGAGGGAUGGUUUGGCUUACUAAUUUAUCUUCCCUGAAAUAUGUUUGAGUAAAAAAGAGUUGCCUGCCACAAUUUAGUGUUGGGGUUCCAGUGGAGCUGAGAAAGUGAACAAUCCAGCUACUUAAAGCAACAACAAAACCUGUUCAUCUGGAUCCCUAGGUAAUUUUGACCAAGGUGAGACUUUUGGCAUAAAUUAAAUGGAUUGUGGUCAGCAUUACAUUUGAGAGAAUACUAGACAUGACUACACUUAUUAGGGCUAGUGACUUUCUCAAACUCAGAAGCUAAAAAGCAGCCUAGAUGACUAUGCACACACUGGGUUUCAAGAUGAAAUCUUCUUAUAUAUUCAGAUGGAAAAAAAUUUCCCCUUACACUCUUUCUCAAAAUACUCUCAUUUCGGUUUUUCCUGAAACCUUAUUUGGCCAUUCCCAUGGUUUUAUGACAGACAAGCCUUGUCUUCUAUUCAUAUAGAUAUGCACCUUUUUCUACAUGUAUGGCCUUUACUUACUACACAGCAAGUAGGCCUCAAAGUAAUCUUCCUCUUUCCCAUCAAUCAUCUUCUGCCAAGCAUUCAGGCAGAGCAGCUGUUAACUGUGAUUCAAAGUCAGAAAAACAUCAAGAACUUCUUUGAUGCAUAGGGUGUAUCAGCACUCAGCUCCCACAGAAGUCAAGUCACAAAAUAUAGUGUCAGUUAACUAUAAGGAAGUUCCGGAGAGGUAAAGCUCAGGAAAGAUGUAAUGCAAAGCUGAUUGUUUAAUGUCUUACAGAUUUACACUGUCUUUAAAAGGCCAAAUAAGGCUGGGCGCAGUGGCUCACACCUGUAAUCCCAACAUUUUGGGAGCCCAAGGCGGCCGGACCACCUGAGGUCGGGAGUUCAAGACCAGCCUGACCAACAUGGAGAAACCCUGUCUCUACUAAAAAUACAAAAAUUAGCCAGGAGUGUUGGUGCAUGACUGUAAUCCCAGCUACUCAGGAGGCUGAGGCAGGAGAAUCGCUUGAACCUGGGAGGUAGAGGUUGUGGUGAGCUGAGAUCGUGCCAUUGCACUCCGGCCUGGGCAAUAAGAGUGAAACUCUGUCUCAAAAAAAAAAAAAAAAAAAAAAAAAGCCAAAUAAAUCAGGGUUUUACCAGGGGCUCAGAGAUAAAAAGAAAACCUAUUCCUAUCUUAGCAUUUUGGUCUCAUUGGUUUAUAGACUCUGAUAAUAUCCCUAUCCAUGGAUCAUUUGAGUAUUGACUAAUGUACAUAGGUACCCAACUGGUUGAUUAUUAAUCAAGAAUACAGAACUUUAUUUAAUAAUUAGCACACCCUGAUCUGGCUUCUUUGCUUGCUUUUCUUUGGAUCCCUGUCCAAUAACCUCUGUGGAAUCUCAUUCCCUAAUUGUUGAUACUCAUUUUCUCCGUUUGCAAAAUGAAGAUACUCAUUGUUAGGAUCCUACUGCUGAAGGGUGCUAUGUCACUUUCUAGUGCUCUUAUAUGUCUUUAAUUAUAGGACUGGAAUGAAAAGCUUAACCAUACAGUAUUUCUAAGCAAAAUAAUGUACUCCAUUCUUUUGUCCAUGCUCUCAUUGCUGAUUUGUUCUUGCAGGACUUAGAGCACUUUGUUAAUGUUCUUCCAUUCACUCCAACAGCGUCCUCAGAAAGAGACAGAAUAAAAAAAUUGUUCCCCAUGGUACAGCUGGAAAAAUUAAGGGGAAAAGAGAUUAAGUGGUCCCCAAUGGAACACAGCUGUCUUAUGCAGGGCUCACAGUUACCAUGUUCAGUACAUUGUUAAAGUAACUUGGCUUCCCAGGACUGGAAUUAUCAUGGAGCAGUUAGAAUUUUGAGAGUAAUUACAACAGGAUCACAUUCUGAAAGAGUCACAUUUUGUCAAAAAUCUGAAAAGUAUGCAAUUUGUACAACUCUUACUUUCUAUGUGAUAAGAAUGCAAUAUGUGCCUCUUUCCCCUACUAGCCCCAUGUGACACAUAUUUUUCACACUAUGUGGCAUCAACCAGUGCCAUUACCUCCUGUGGCACCAUAGAGCCCAAUCUCAGGGCAGACAUUGCCAAGGUAAAGAAUGCACUCCAUGUUUAUACCAAAUUGCACAAAGUAUAGACAUUGAGGUUAAUGGAGAUUUAAGCACAAUCCUAGCAAGUAAGUUUUAAGAAUACUGAAUAUUAUACAUUAUUGUAACAUGAACCUAAAAUUAAUUUAACAGGGCCCAAAUUCAUAGGAAUGUAACAGUCAUUGAAAGCCUAUUCUUUUCACCUCUCAUCACACAUAUCUACAUACAUGUAUGCACAUGUACACACACACACACACACACACACACACACAUACACAUUUUCUCCAAAGCAGGCUGCCUCUUCAGCAGGAGCAAAUACUUUAAUUUAAAAGAAUGAUUAUCUGUUUUCUCCUUUUAGAAAAAGAGUCUAAGAAACACAGCAUGUGAAGAACAUUAGAUUUAUACAUUCCAGAAUCUCUGCUCUCAGAGUAGCUAAGAGAUUCGGUACAGAAGACGUUCUAUGGAGAAGCACAGGGGGCAUCUAAUGAGAUUGUCAGGCCCUUGGACAAGAUCCAUAUUCUUAGAAAAUUAAUGAGUUCCAUCUCGUUAGGAAUUGGUUGAUGAGGUAUGGUACAUCUGCAUUUCUUUAACCAUAGCUGUAAUGUACCAUAUUAAAUUGUAGCCUUUUGCAUGCGGGUAUUAUAUAAUAAUGAAUGGGUGGCUCCUAGUAGCAUGCAACCCAUGACUGUUUACUUCCCUAAAAGGGUUAGGUCUGUGUCCUGCACAGUGUUCAAAACCAUUAAAUGUGUUCUUUGUAGCAGGAUGGUACACAGCCAUCAGCAGAAUGAGUUAAAACCAACAAUGAAUUCAAUAUACCAGGAAAUAGAUUGUUAGUAGGGAAUGGCAUUAAAGGAAAAAAAAAUUAGAUAAGAUGCAUUCAAGGAAUAAUUACUUUCACUCUGCUGGCUUAAUCAGUGAAGGAACAUAAAAGGAAAGCUGGCAGUGGGUCUUGGUAAUAUAUGAACUAUAUUAGAGUGCCAGAAAAGGAGACCUCAGAAGUUAAGCAUAGGUUGCCAAUCUGCUACAAUUAUUUUUCCCACCAAUCUGCUCAAAAUGAUUGUAUAUAGUAUUCUUAAAACCAUGUGUCUUGGUGCAGAAAUAUUGACAAAUGCUGGCCAGCUUUAUCUUCCUAUAUCCUUCAUUAAAAGUAUAUGCAUAUAA